GACGAACGCUGGCGGCGUGCUUAACACAUGCAAGUCGAACGGAAAGGCCCUGCUUUUUUGGGGUGCUCGCGUGGCGAACGUGUGAGUUACACGUGAGUAACCUUCCCUUUACUUUGUGAUAACUUCAGGAAACUGCUGCUAAUACCUGCUAGGAGCUCCUGCUGCAUGGUGGGGGUUGGAAAGUUUCGGCGGUUGGGGAUGGACUGGCGGCUUAUCAGCUUGUUGGGGGGGGAGUGGCUUACCCAGGCUUUGGCGGAUAGCCGGCCUGAGAGGGUGAACGGGGACAUUGGGACUGAGAGAGGGACCAGAGGCCUACGGGAGGCAGCAGGGGGGAAUAUUGCACAGUGGGCGGAAGCCUGAUGCAGCAACGCUGGGUGCGGGAUGAAAGCCUUCGGGUGGGAAACCGCUUUCGCCUGUGACGAAGCGUGAGUGACGUUAAUGGGUAAAGAAGCACCGGCUAACUACGUG
rnacentral:rRNA from 1 species